CCCUUAGAUGUUCUGGGCCGCACGCGCGCUACACUGACGAAUGCAACGAGCUUAUAACCUUGGCCGAAAGGUCUGGGUAGUCUCCAAAUUUCGUCGUGAUGGGGAUAGAUUAUUGCAAUUAUUAAUCUUCAACGAGGAAUGCCUAGUAAGCGCAAGUCAUCAGCUUGCGUUGAUUAUGUCCCUGCCCUUUGUACACACCGCCCGUCGCUCCUACCGAUUGAGUGCUCAGGUGAAUAGUAUGGACUGCAUCAGUGUUCGGUCUCCGAAUGUUGAAGCGAGAAAUUCUGUGAAUCUUAUUGCUUAGAGGAAGGAGAAGUCGUAACA
rnacentral:rRNA from 1 species